CCUACGGGUUGCAGCAGUGGGGAAUAUUGGACAAUGGGCGAAAGCCUGAUCCAGCAAUGCCGCGUGUGUGAAGAAGGUCUUCGGAUUGUAAAGCACUUUCGACGGGGACGAUGAUGACGGUACCCGUAGAAGAGGCCCCGGCUAACUUCGUGCCAGCAGCCGCGGUAAUACGAAGGGGGCUAACGUGGCUCGGAAUGACUGGGCGUAAAGGGCGCGUAGGCGGUUUAUGCAGUCAGAUGUGAAAUCCCCGGGCUUAACCUGGGAACUGCAUUUGAGACGCAUAGACUAGAGGUUGAGAGAGGGUUAUGGAAUUCCCAGCGUAGAGGUGAGAUUCGUAGAUAUUGGGAAGAACACCGGUGGCGAAGGCGGCAACCUGGCUCGAUACUGACGCUGAGGCGCGAAAGCGUGGGGAGCAAACAGGAUUAGAUACCCGAGUAGUC
rnacentral:rRNA from 1 species